AAUCCCAGCACUUUGGGAGGCCAAGGCAGGCAGAUCACCUGAGGUCAGGAGCUCAAGACCAGCCUGGGCCUCCCAAAGUGCUGGGAUUACAGGUGUGAGCCACCGUGCCAGCCUGAAAUCGAUAUUCUCCUGACAUAUAUUUGCACAAAUGUUCCCCUCACCUGUUUGUUGUCAUGUGACUUUGUCGUGCUGUUUGAGUGUUAGGCGUUCU
rnacentral:lncRNA from 1 species